rnacentral:rRNA from 1 species
UGCAGUCGAGCGGUAGCACAGAGAGCUUGCUCUCGGGUGACGAGCGGCGGACGGGUGAGUAAUGUCUGGGAAACUGCCUGAUGGAGGGGGAUAACUACUGGAAACGGUAGCUAAUACCGCAUAACGUCGCAAGACCAAAGUGGGGGACCUUCGGGCCUCAUGCCAUCAGAUGUGCCCAGAUGGGAUUAGCUAGUAGGUGGGGUAACGGCUCACCUAGGCGACGAUCCCUAGCUGGUCUGAGAGGAUGACCAGCCACACUGGAACUGAGACACGGUCCAGACUCCUACGGGAGGCAGCAGUGGGGAAUAUUGCACAAUGGGCGCAAGCCUGAUGCAGCCAUGCCGCGUGUGUGAAGAAGGCCUUCGGGUUGUAAAGCACUUUCAGCGGGGAGGAAGGCGAUAAGGUUAAUAACCUUGUCGAUUGACGUUACCCGCAGAAGAAGCACCGGCUAACUCCGUGCCAGCAGCCGCGGUAAUACGGAGGGUGCAAGCGUUAAUCGGAAUUACUGGGCGUAAAGCGCACGCAGGCGGUCUGUCAAGUCGGAUGUGAAAUCCCCGGGCUCAACCUGGGAACUGCAUUCGAAACUGGCAGGCUAGAGUCUUGUAGAGGGGGGUAGAAUUCCAGGUGUAGCGGUGAAAUGCGUAGAGAUCUGGAGGAAUACCGGUGGCGAAGGCGGCCCCCUGGACAAAGACUGACGCUCAGGUGCGAAAGCGUGGGGAGCAAACAGGAUUAGAUACCCUGGUAGUCCACGCCGUAAACGAUGUCGAUUUGGAGGUUGUGCCCUUGAGGCGUGGCUUCCGGAGCUAACGCGUUAAAUCGACCGCCUGGGGAGUACGGCCGCAAGGUUAAAACUCAAAUGAAUUGACGGGGGCCCGCACAAGCGGUGGAGCAUGUGGUUUAAUUCGAUGCAACGCGAAGAACCUUACCUGGUCUUGACAUCCACAGAACUUUCCAGAGAUGCAUUGGUGCCUUCGGGAACUGUGAGACAGGUGCUGCAUGGCUGUCGUCAGCUCGUGUUGUGAAAUGUUGGGUUAAGUCCCGCAACGAGCGCAACCCUUAUCCUUUGUUGCCAGCGGUUAGGCCGGGAACUCAAAGGAGACUGCCAGUGAUAAACUGGAGGAAGGUGGGGAUGACGUCAAGUCAUCAUGGCCCUUACGACCAGGGCUACACACGUGCUACAAUGGCAUAUACAAAGAGAAGCGACCUCGCGAGAGCAAGCGGACCUCAUAAAGUAUGUCGUAGUCCGGAUUGGAGUCUGCAACUCGACUCCAUGAAGUCGGAAUCGCUAGUAAUCGUAGAUCAGAAUGCUACGGUGAAUACGUUCCCGGGCCUUGUACACACCGCCCGUCACACCAUGGGAGUGGGUUGCAAAAGAAGUAGGUAGCUUAACCUUCGGGAGGGCGC